AGAGAGAGACAUGCGCGCAUAUCAAUAAGCGGAGGAAAAGAAACUAACUAGGAUUCCCUCAGUAACGGCGAGUGAAGCGGGAAGAGCUCAAAUUUGAAAUCUUCAAGGUUCUACCUUGACGAAUUGUAGUUUAAAGAAGUGUUUUCUGUUGGAGUUUUGGUAAAAGUUCUUUGGAAUAGGACAUCAUAGAGGGUGAGAAUCCCGUAUUUGACCAUUAUUUCCAGCUUUGUGAUACACUUUCAAAGAGUCGGAUUGUUUGGGAAUGCAGUCCAAAAUGGGUGGUAAAUUUCAUCUAAAGCUAAAUAUUGGCGAGAGACCGAUAGCGAACAAGUACCGUGAGGGAAAGAUGAAAAGAACUUUGAAAAGAGAGUUAAACAGUACGUGAAAUUGUCAAAAGGGAAGCGUUUGACACCAGUGUUGUUUUCUCGAAAAUCAAUUAAAAAAGGCAGGAUUUUGUGUUGUAUUGACUUUAUCAGCUUUCUGCACUCUUUUCUUGUCUUUUUUAAUGCACUUUUCGUUUAACAAGUCAACAUCAAUUUCUUUUGUUGUAAAAGGGUCAUUGGAAGGUGGCUUUCUUUUCGGAGAAAGUGUUUAUAGCCUUUGCCUCUGCAAUCGGAGAGAUUGAGGUCUGCAGCGUAGAUCCUUCGGGGUUAGAUACAUUUGUGCUAAGUUAUAGCCUUUUCAUAGACAACUUGUUGACUAUGAUCAGUCAUGUAGCUUACUCGCUUAUGCUAUUUUACCUACGCUUAGGAUGUUGAUGUGAUACUGCGAGCA
rnacentral:rRNA from 1 species